CUGUAGUUGUUCUGGUUACUAUAAUGUCCUUUAAUUACAUGCAUUUAUUAAAAUACUAAAUAAAAUGACUGCAAUUAACCAGGACUAAAGUAAUACAAAGUAGCAAUAUCUGGUGUGAAAAAAUGCCAGGAUUUGGGCUUAAUGGAAUAAAAUGUAGUAUAUUUACAAAGGAAGGAAGGAUGUGUGUUGUGUAAAUCUGUC